rnacentral:rRNA from 1 species
AGGGAAUCUUCCACAAUGGACGCAAGUCUGAUGGAGCAACGCCGCGUGAGUGAAGAAGGUCUUCGGAUCGUAAAGCUCUGUUGUUGGUGAAGAAGGAUAGAGGCAGUAACUGGUCUUUAUUUGACGGUAAUCAACCAGAAAGUCACGGCUAACUACGUGCCAGCAGCCGCGGUAAUACGUAGGUGGCAAGCGUUGUCCGGAUUUAUUGGGCGUAAAGCGAGCGCAGGCGGAAUGAUAAGUCUGAUGUGAAAGCCCACGGCUCACCGUGGAACUGCAUCGGAAACUGCCAUUCUUGAGUGCAGAAGAGGAGAGUGGAACUCCAUGUGUAGCGGUGGAAUGCGUAGAUAUAUGGAAGAACACCAGUGGCGAAGGCGGCUCUCUGGUCUGCAACUGACGCUGAGGCUCGAAAGCAUGGGUAGCGAACAGGAUUAGAUACCCUGGUAGUCCAUGCCGUAAACGAUGAGCGCUAGGUGUUGGGGACUUUCCGGUCCUCAGUGCCGCAGCAAACGCAUUAAGCGCUCCGCCUGGGGGAGUACGACCGCAAGGUUGAA